UUAAUGCAGAAUGAAAGGGUGACCUGUAUUAAAUUCUACCCUGUUUCAUACUUACCCACCAAAUAUGCUUACCUAGUUAAAAUAAUGACUAAGUAAGAUGAGUACGUGAAGGAUGGAGUCAGCCCUAUCGGUAAAAAGCUAUUCACCAGAGGCUCAGGGCUAAAACCAAUGGUUUGAGUUCUUUGACUUCAGACUGUCAGGCACAGACAGUACUGCCAUAAAAUUAGGUAAAAGUUUAUGUAAGUAGUUAUUUGGUAAAAGUAAAGAAAACAAUUUGAUUUUAAGAUAAUGCAUAUGAAACAGUGUAAUCAAUUAACAGAUGAAUCUUUAUUUGCAAAUGCGAGCUCUAGCUCAGUUGAGAGGAGAAUCCCCUUCUCAAAUAAAAAAAGUCUGGUGUUAGCUUAAUAGACCCUAAGAAGACCAACAUCACAGUUUCCAUAGUCUUAGUAUGGUAUUUAACUUUUUUCAGUCUCUCAAU
rnacentral:lncRNA from 1 species